rnacentral:lncRNA from 1 species
UGCAGCGGCACCACGUCCUCGGGCCACGUCUUGGUCACGUCCAGCGGGUCGAAGUCGAACCGCUCCUCGUGGUCCGGGUCGAUGGUCUGGAUGUAGAAGGUCCACUCCGGGUAGUUGCCGGCGGCGAUGGAGUCGGUCAGGUCCUUGGUGGCGUGGCUGUGGUUGGUGCCGCCCACGGUGACCGCCUCGUCCUCGAGGAGGGACUUGACGCCGCAGGUGGGCUUCCAGUGGAACUUGACG